UACCAGCACCCCGAGUGGUCGGGACGUUUAUUGGGCCUAAAGCAUCCGUAGCCGGUUCUACAAGUCUUCCGUUAAAUCCAACUGCUUAACAGGUGGGCUGCGGAAGAUACUAUAGAGCUAGGAGGCGGGAGAGGCAAGCGGUACUCGAUGGGUAGGGGUAAAAUCCGUUGAUCCAUUGAAGAACACCAGUGGCGAAGGCGGCUCACUGGACUGGUAUUGACGCUGAGGUGCGAAAGCGUGGGGAGCAAACAGG
rnacentral:rRNA from 1 species